UGUAUCGUGUGUGUAUCGUGUAUGUGAAGUGAACGCGUAUGUGUAUGGAGGAGUUCCAUGUUCCAUGCAGUGAUGUGAAUUCCGGGCCGCUUGCAACACGGUUAUUAGCAUGAAGAGAGCAUAGACGGACACCACGCAUGCGAAAAUAUACACAGAUAUGGACUCAUUGUAGUGUAUGUACCUUUUUAUGCCCUCUUCAUGCUAGUAACUGUACUGUAAGCGGCCCGGAAUUCGCAUCAUUGGUUCCAUGCUGUGCUGUUCCACCGUCCACGUUCCACGCCUUGAACUAUCGUGCAGUAAACUUUCGUGAACAUAUGUAAUAUUGUUACUUAUUGCUGUUUGCAAUAAAUGUAAUUAAAAUGACCUCAGAGAGAAAAGGAACCUUUAAAGUUGAAUAUCUUCAAGAAAUUGAGAAAAACAUACAAGCGAAAUGGAAAUUCGCAAACGUAUACAACAUGGAUGCACCUUUAGAUGAGAACUCAAAAGAUGAAAAAUUUUUUGUAACUUUUCCAUAUCCUUAUAUGAAUGGACGUCUCCAUCUCGGUCAUGCAUUUUCAUUAUCAAAAUGUGAAUUUGCUGCUCGAUACAAUCAUCUUUUGGGAAAGA